ensembl:lncRNA
GGCCCGCCCGCCCUCGGGCUUGGCCGCGGGGUAGCCGGAUGGGAACCGGAGCCUUACCUCGCCCUCGAGGCUUACCCGCUCGGGGUCCCGUUAUGUCCCCCUCCCCUCACCGCGCUGCCCCGCUGCACCAAACACACGCUCACACCCGCCCCGCGGCAAAAGCAACCCGACGGGGAGGGGGGAAUUAGCAGGAGGAGACGCGCGGCCGAGAGGCGAGGAGCGAACCGCUUCCCCGAGCCCUUCCACUGCGGAGCCGCGAGGGAACAUCAGACGCGUUAAAAAAAGCCCCAACCAAACCAAAACAAAACGCGGCGUUGGAGCCGGCGCACGGCGAGCGGAGAUCAAACAGACGCGGAGAGAGAGAGAGAGAGAGAGAGAGAGGAGAAGGAGGGAGAGAGGGAGAGACAGAUUAACUGGAGCGGCAGCGGCGGCAACAACAACAACAACAAAAAAUCAUACUUAUAAUAAUAACAAUAAUAAUAAUAAUAAAAACCCAAACCACCAACAAGGGAGAUAUUGUUUAAAAAGAGCGAGCGAGGCAGCGAGCCGCAGCGCCGGGCUGACCGAGUGGAUCCGCGCAGCACUCCCGGGACCGCCGGCACCGCGCUGAGUCCCCGCCGAG